AGCAGCCGCGGUAAUUCCAGCUCCAAUAGCGUAUAUUAAAGUUGUUGCAGUUAAAAAGCUCGUAGUUGAAUUUCGGGAUCAAUAUGUUGGUCGUGCCUUGGUACGUACUGGCAUUAUUGGUUCCUACCUUCUGAAGAACCUCGAUGUCAUUAAUUUGGUGUCUUGGGGAAUCAGGACUGUUACUUUGAAAAAAUUAGAGUGUUUAAAGCAGGCUCGCGCUUGAAUAACAUUAGCAUGGAAUAAUGAAAUAGGACGUUUGAUUCUAUUUUGUUGGUUUCUAGGAUCGACGUAAUGAUUAAUAGGGAUAGUUGGGGGCAUUAGUAUUCAAUUGUCAGAGGUGAAAUUCUUGGAUUUAUUGAAGACUGACUACUGCGAAAGCAUUUGCCAAGGAUGUUUUCAUUAAUCAAGAACGAAAGUUAGGGGAUCGAAGACGAUCAGAUACCGUCGUAGUCUUAACCAUAAACUAUGCCGACUAGGGAUCGGAUGAUGUUAAUUUUUUAAUGACUCAUUCGGCGCCUUACG
rnacentral:rRNA from 1 species